GACGAACGCUGGCGGCGUGCUUAACACAUGCAAGUCGAACGGAAAGGCCCUGCUUUUGUGGGGUGCUCGAAUGGCGAACGGGUGAGUAACACGUGAGUAACCUGCCCUUGACUUUGGGAUAACUUCAGGAAACUGGGGCUAAUACCGGAUAGGAGCUCCUGCUGCAUGGUGGGGGUUGGAAAGUUUCGGCGGUUGGGGAUGGACUCGCGGCUUAUCAGCUUGUUGGUGGGGUAGUGGCUUACCCAGGCUUUGACGGGUAGCCGGCCUGAGAGGGUGACCGGCCACAUUGGGACUGAGAGACGGCCCAGACUCCUACGGGAGGCAGCAGUGGGGAAUAUUGCACAAUGGGCGGAAGCCUGAUGCAGCAACGCCGCGUGCGGGAUGACGGCCUUCGGGGUGUAAACCGCUUUCGCCUGUGACGAAGCGUGAGUGACGGUAAUGGGUAAAGAAGCACCGGCUAACUACGUG
rnacentral:rRNA from 1 species